UUUUUAUGUGUUCAUCAAUUAAUUACCCUUUAUCUAUAAGUGCAACUUUGUGCCAAUUUUAAUCAGACUUGGACCGGCAUAGGUUCCAACUAAUAUGCUUUGUGUUUGGUUUAUAAUUUUUAAUUAAACUUAACUAAUGUGAUCGAGGAAAUACUUUAAAGAGGAUGAUCCAGUCAAAAUAUAAAGCACACUAUUUUAAAUUAAUUAGCAAUAUAAUGCAAUUUUG
rnacentral:lncRNA from 1 species